rnacentral:rRNA from 1 species
CCUACGGGGGGCAGCAGUGAGGAAUAUUGGUCAAUGGGCGUAAGCCUGAACCAGCCAAGUCGCGUGAGGGAUGAAGGUUCUAUGGAUCGUAAACCUCUUUUAUAAGGGGAUAAAGUGCGGGACGUGUCCCGGUUUGUAUGUACCUUAUGAAUAAGCAUCGGCUAACUCCGUGCCAGCAGCCGCGGUAAUACGGAGGAUCCGAGCGUUAUCCGGAUUUAUUGGGUUUAAAGGGUGCGUAGGCGGCCUUUUAAGUCAGCGGUAAAAGCCCGGGGCUCAACCACGGAGAGCCGGUGAAAAUGGGUGUCUGGAGAUGGCGAGAGGUAUGCGGAAGGCGCAGUGUAGCGGUGAAAU